CUCCACUCCUCGCAUGGCAGCCAAUCGGUGAAGCUCUAGGCAGCUCUUGUCCCUCCUUAGUACCAGCUCCCAAGUUUUCAGUCUCUUGCUUCUACAGCCGAACAGAGCAGACGGACUAAAACUUUUGUUAUCGAGCGAAACCGGAAGGUUUACUGAGCUGUGGCUCCACGUAAAUGCUGAGCAUCCACUCGACGGCGGUCAGGUUUUUAUAUGGGACGAAUCCAAAGACCAGGUCAGCGAUUCCAGAACCCAGAGUGUUCCAGUGUUCACUGGAUGGCGAGCCAACCCAAGAUCCUAGGAGACGAUAUACAUAUACACGCACACUCAUUUGCACAUUGAUGGACUACAAUCCUCUACUGUAGGACAGACAAUCACACACACACUCCUUGUC